GGCUUAUUACCAACGUGCCUCUGUAAAGAAGCCCCACUAUGAAGGACUGUGGAUUUCUAUGGAGCGUUGGAAUGGUGUAGCGGUGGAAGAUCUAAUCUACACCAGUGAGCAGUACUCCUUGCAUGAAAGCUGGAUAGCGUACAUCUGCAAGGAGGUAUUAAAGGGCCUGUGUCAUCUGGAAAACAAAAAGGUCAUCCAUCACGACCUGCGGCCCCAGAACAUUAUCCUGACAACAUCGGCAGAUGUAAAGAUCAGUAAGUGAUGC